CACAACCCAUCCUGGAAAUCUCCAUGGAGUCCCUACCUGCCUUUCUGCUUCUCUUGUCAGUCCUUAAGCCAGGCUCUUCUGAAAUCCGCUUGACCCAGUCCGGUGGGGAGACAUGGAAGCCUGGAGCAACUCUCCGGCUGACCUGCGCGGUCUCUGGAUACGCCAUCUCUUCUGGCUAUUACUGGCAUUGGAUCCGCCAGCCACCCCAGAAGGGGCUGGAAUGGGUAGGGAGGGGAUACUACAGUGGUUCGACCUGGUACACAAGUUACGGCUCAGCUUUCCAGAGCAGGACCUCCAUCACUACUGAUGCCUCCAAGAAUGAAUUCUACCUCGAGCUGAGGUCCCUGAUAGCUGCCGACACAGCCGUGUAUUACUGUGCACGAAGAGCACAGUGA